rnacentral:misc_RNA from 1 species
UCCGAGUUGUCCCCGGCAGUCUCCUAUGAGUCCCCGACUUAACUCGCUGGUAACAUAGGACAAGGGUUGCGCUCGUUGCGGGACUUAACCCAACACCUCACAGCACGAGCUGACGACAGCCAUGCAGCACCUGUCCCGUUCCCCUUUCGGGCGGCGGGUUUCCCCGCCUGAGCACGGGAUGUCAAGCCCUGGUAAGGUUCUUCGCGUCGCAUCGAAUUAAACCACACGCUCCGCUGCUUGUGCGGGCCCCCGUCAAUUCCUUUGAGUUUUAGCCUUGCGGCCGUACUCCCCAGGCGGGGCACUUACUGCGUUCGCGCCGGCGCGGAGGGGGUCGAUACCCCCCACACCUAGUGCCCACCGUUUACGGCGUGGACUAC